rnacentral:rRNA from 1 species
UUCAUGUCUAGCCAUGCGAGUCUUUGCAGUAAUGCAAGGCAUACGGCUCAGUAACACGUAGUCAACUUACCCUAUGGACGAGGAUAAUCUCGGGAAACUGAGCAUAAUACUCGAUAGAUCAUAAUGCCUGGAAUGGUUUAUGGUUGAAAUGAUUCGUCGCCAUAGGAUGGGACUGCGGCCUAUCAGCUUGUUGGUGAGGUAAUGGCCCACCAAGGCGAUUACAGGUACGGGCUCUGAGAGGAGAAGCCCGGAGAUGGGUACUGAGACAAGGACCCAGGCCCUAUGGGGCGCAGCAGGCGAGAAAACUUUGCAAUGUGCGAAAGCACGACAAGGUUAAUCCGAGUGAUUUCUGCUAAAGAAAUCUUUUGCAAGUCAUAAAACCACUAGUGAAUAAGGGGUGGGCAAGUUCUGGUGUCAGCCGCCGCGGUAAAACCAGCACCUCAAGUGGUCAGGAGGAUUAUUGGGCCUAAAGCAUCCGUAGCCGGCUCUGUAAGUUUUCGGUUAAAUCCAUGUGCUCAACGCAUGGGCUGCCGAAAAUACUGCAUAGCUAGGGAGUGGGAGAGGUAGACGGUACUCGGUAGGAAGGGGUAAAAUCCUUUGAUCUAUCGAUGACCACCUGUGGCGAAAGCGGUCUACCAGAACACGUUCGACGGUGAGGGAUGAAAGCUGGGGGAGCAAACCGGGAUUAGAUACCCGGGUAGUCCCAGCUGUAACGAUGCAGACUCGAUGAUGCCAUGGGCAUAUAGCCAGUGCACUGUCGCAAGGCAAGCCGGAUCAG